rnacentral:lncRNA from 1 species
AUGGGAGAUUGGAUGACUGUUACAGAUCCAGUUCUGUGUACAGAAAACAAAAAUCUCUCUCAAUAUACCUCAGAAACAAAGAUGUCUCCGUCAAGUUUAUACUCGCAGCAAGUACUGUGCUCUGCAACACCUUUAUCCAAGAAUGUGCAUGGUGUUUUCAGUGCCUUCUGCACAGGAGAGAACAUCGAACAGAGUAUUUCGUAUCUUGAUCAGGAACUGACUACCUUCGGUUUCCCUUCCUUGUAUGAAGAAUCCAAAAGUAAGGAGGCGAAGCGAGAGUUAAGUAUAGUUGCUCUUCUGAACUGCAUGAAUGAGCUGCUUGUGCUUCAGCGGAAGAACCUCCUGGCCCAAGAAAGCGUGGAGACACAGAAUCUGAAGCUGGGCAGUGACAUGGACCACCUGCAGAGCUGCUACGCCAAACUUAAGGUACAGUCGGUCAUCCUCCUGCCUCAGUGCCCUGCCACAGGAGGCCAUGGGCUUCAGAUUCGAUUCAGGACUGUGUUUAAAACCUGAGGUUCUUUUGCAUAUAGGAAGAUGAUUUCCAGAAAUGUGUACACAGUUGUUACUCUGCUUCUCGCUGUCUGUGCUGAAGGCCUUGAUUUUACUGUGGAGAGGCUCUGCUGAGUCUGUAGAAAGUUAGGAAAUACUUACCUUCUGGGGGAAGUGAGGAUUCUCUCACCUGAUCCAGCCGUACUGAUAAAGGACAGCUUCAUAACACAUGGAUGCCAAGAAAAAAUAUGCCCAUGAUCCUAUGGUACAUACCCAUGAUCCUACGGUACAUACCCAUGAUCCUACGGUACAUACCCAUGAUCCUAGGGUACAUACCCAUGAUCCUACGGUACAUACCCAUGAUCCUACAGUACAUACCCAUGUUCCUACGGUACAUACCCAUGAUCCUACGGUACAUACCCAUGAUCCUACGGUACAUUCCCAUGUUCCUAGGGUACAUUCCCAUGUUCCUAGGGUACAUACAACAAAGAAUGGGAUUGGGGGAAUGAGCCAGACAGCGUCUGACCCUAAGGAUGUCCAGCACUGCAGGGGAGACUGUAGUCUUCUGUGGCCACUGGUAACCUUUCUCUGUGAAAAGGAACUUCUCACAGAGCCAUACCACCUUACCAUGUUGUUGCUGAUUUCUGGUUUGCUUUCUUUUUCCUCCUUAGAAAAAGCUUGUUUUAAAAAUGUUUUUCUAUAAAAAUGUAUUCCUGAUUCCUCCCUUCGCCUUUGAAUCAUGGUGUAGGAAAGACGUACACUGUAGUUGCAUAUUGUCGGGAAUAUAGUCCACACAAGCCAUUUUUCCUCCGUAUUCUAUAGUAGGGCCCGUUUACAAGAAAAAGCCUUUGUGAGUGUGCACGCUCUUAGCAAGUUGGCUUCCUUAUGGCUUUCCAUCUGUCAAUUCUUGGCCUGUUUCUUCUACUGUGUCUACUUCCUACCCCACUCCUAAGAACAGAUAAUGAAAGCCAAAGUCGCAUCCUCACUCUGUUCUGUUGGAUUAGGAGUUUGGUGUAAUGUCUGCAGGGUGCUAGAGUGCGCGGGAAAGUGCAUGUGCUGUGCACUGCCCUGUUGGUGAGCUCCGAGCACUUCUGGGGUGCUCUGUAGGGGCUCCGGAGUUCCUCCAUGGCUCAUGUUCCUUUCAGUCACACCUCACGUGUCUUCCCUGUCCUCAGAGCAGGUGCAGUAACACUGCUCCCACAGUGCUUUCUAGCUUCUUUUUUCUUUUUUAAAGAUUUAUUUAAUAUAUAUAUAUAUUUUUUUUUUAUUUUUUUUAUUUUUUUUUUACCGUAGCUGUCUUAAGAGACACCAGAAGAAGGCAUCAGAUUCCAUUACAGAUGUUUGUGAGCCACCAUGUGGUUGCUGGGAUUUGAACUCAGGACCUCUGGAAGAGCAGUCAGUGCUCUUAACCGCUGAGCCAUCUCUCCAGCCCUUCUUUUAGCUUCUUGUUUAUGGGGUUUGCCUGAAGGACAGAUAGAUUCUCCCAGUGUGUAUCCUGGCUACCUGGGGACACGCAGGGCUGGAGGGUCCGUAUUAGUGCUCCCUAAGACUGUGAGCUGUGCGUCACACUAACUCAUGUCCUCUUAUCAGGACCUGAUGGACAUCAGGCUGAUCCAGACAUCUAAACCUGGAAUACAGCGUUUUUUUCCACACACCAUUGGCCAAGUGCCAUAAGUGAUUAGUAUGCGUCUGUGCAGUUAGGUUGGAGCAGCCAAGUCUUUUCCUUAAGGAAUGAGCUAGAACUACCCAGAGCAGAGUGUUUGACUAGGGUCUCUUCUAAUUUGGAUUUGACCUGGAACAGAAUCUGUUGUUUAGGUUAGCCGAAGACAGAAAUGUAUAAGAUUUCUAGAUCUAAUUUUUGUGAUUGAUUCACACCCAGUUCCUGCUCAUAGGUUUCUGAUCAAGAUUUAAAGAAUGAUUCAGAAGCUUGCUAGCAUCUGGAAAAGGUAUUCCAAACAGAGCGUGCAACUUAUAUGAAGUCCCAGAGGGAGGAGAGAGCAUUGCAUUUUCAAAGAAUCACAAAGGGGUUUAUGGAGGCUGGAGACUGAGGUUUGGUGGGGCCUGUGAGGUGUAGGGCUGGACCCUGGGCUCCAGAUGGCAUGGAGAUGAGGUGGUACCAAAGGAGCGGAAGACAUUGUAUGAACGUCACUUUGCUGAUGGGGUAGAAGGAUUAUGGGGCACACAUUCCUAUUUAGAUGGGGAAUGGUAGGCUCCAGGAGCCUCAUGACAGUGCUAGUUUUUAGGAAUUCAUUGCAGAGUUUUUGUUUGGUUUAUUUUAGUUUUUGGUUGACAUACUCAAAAUAGAUUGCAUUAUUAAAAUUUUACAACCUUAUGUGUCUUACUCAGGUCCACCUCACAUACUCUCUCCUCCUCCACCCUGUCAUUCCAUGGAGUACCGUCUGCUCUCAUGUGAUGCAUGUAGAGUGAAGUCUGGGUCUGCAUGAGAGAAAAUGGGGUGUAAUUUUCUUUCUUAUCCCCAGGCCCCCCUCCCCCCACACCAUCAGCCUCUCUUGCUCUCUGUUCUCUUUAGGUGUCCUCCUGCCCUGGCAGCCAAGCUGUCCAACUUUCCUGUCAUUUACACACGCACAUUUAAUCUGAUCCACAUAGGAGAGGAAACAAGGCAUUUGUUGUUUGGAGUCUGGCUUUUUAGACUAACACCAUUAUCUUUUGUUCCAUGUAUUUUUUUCAUGAAAGUGAUGUAAUUUCAUUUUUCUGAGCUGAAUAAAACUCCACCAUCCACAAGCACACACAGGCAUACCCCACCCCCUCCAUGUCACAUUUCUUUACACAUUCUUCCGUUGGUUCAUCUAGGCUGCUUCCUGACUUAGCUACUGUGAGCAGAAGUGGUGCAGUGAGCAUGGGCGUGAAGUACCUCUGUGCGGUCCUGACGGAGACUCCUUCCAGCAUAGACUAGGAGCACAUGCUGGAUUGUAUGGACUUUGCCUUCUUAGUUUCCUGAGGAACCUCCGUACUGAUCUCCCUGGUGGCUUUGUCAGCUUAUCAGUGCUCAGUCUCCUUUCUUUUGUGGGCACCAGCGUUUGCAGUUGCAUUGUUCCGGGAUGGUAAUAGCCUUUCUGACUGCUGGGGUGAUGUGGAAUCUCACUGCAGGUUUUCAUUUGCACUUCCUUUGGGGCUAAGAGUGUUAAACACGUUUUAUAUAUUUAUGGUCAUUUGUAUCAGAACUGCAGAGUCAGUGUGUUUGUCCAUUUAUUGAAUAAUUCGGAGCUUCGAUAUUUAAGAUUUUGAGCCUUUCUUACACACUGUAAGUAUAAGUAACUACAGCUGUGUAGUUAGCAAAGGCUUUCUCCUGCGGUUACUGCCGACGGCCUCCUUUGCUGUGACUCCCUCUGACUCCCUGUGAUCUUGCUUGUUCGUUCUUGAGGUUACUCUCUGUCAUUGGAACCUUUCCCAUCACCUCCUUUCCCGUCCCUCUGUCUGAAAUGCUUCCUGGUUUCCCUCUAGCAGCUUGACAGUUUGUGGUCUCACACUAAGGUCUCUGAUCCAAUUUGAAUUAAAGUUUUGCAUGGGGCGAGAUGAGGGACCUCCUCCCCUUUCCCAGUGUGUUGCAGGGUCUAUCUUUCUCCAGUGUAUACUUUUUAGAUCAUGGUUAAAAUGGGGAGGCUGUAGCUGUGCGAACUUCUUUCUGCCUGCGGCUGUAUUCCGUUGGCCUCCAUGACUAUGUUGCUGGCUCUGCUCUGCUGUUCUUUGUCACCGUGGCUUCGUGCUGUGACCUGAGGUGCUGGCCAGUGGCUCCUGUGCUGUGCUGUAUUCUCACGAGCCUCGGCUCUUCGUGUUUCUGUAUGAACUUUAGGAUUUUUUGUAAUUUCUUCAGAGGUUAGACCUGGUCUCGGGCAGUGCGAAGGAUUGUGGUCCCAGACCCACACUUAGGGGCCUUCCCAAGGAUGACGGGAUGCCUGUGGGGGAGCGUGUCUUAUGAAGUGUGCUCGGAGAGCAUCACAGAGCCUCGAGGAGGCGCUGAGGAAACCAUGUUGUAGUUCUUGUCAGUUUUACUCCAGCGUCACACUUCAUGUUCCAGGAACAGUUGGAGGCCUCCAGGCGAGAGAUGAUCAGCCUUCAGGAGAGAGACAGACAGCUACAGUGCAAAAACAGGAAUUUGCAUCAGCUCCUGAAAAACGAGAAAGAAGAGGUAAGCUGUCUGUUCUGUGUGUGAGGUGAACUGUUGGCUUUUGAAAUGUAACGUCACAUAAUGGUCAAUUCUCUUUUAAAAAGAAGUGUGACAUCCUGUGUCACACUGGCAUGGUGGGUGGCAGUCCCAUGCCUGUCCUCCCGCUGCCCCAAGACCAGGGAACAGGGUGGGAAGGAAUCUCACCUUCUGGGAUCGGCAACAAGUGGGAAAGUCAGGCUGUGGAUUGACCGGGUACCUGAGUCCAUCGACCCAGGGGAGGCAGAUCUGAGUGCAUUUCCUAAAGCUUACAAGACUCUUUCAACUUCACAUAAAGAGAGAACAUGGUAAUGUAUUAUAUAUAUUAUAAUACAUAUAUUAUAACAUGUUAUAUAUUAUAUAAUAUAUAACCUAUAGAAAGACACUAUAU